rnacentral:rRNA from 1 species
CCCCAGCGCCACAAGUGGCAACCCUCUUUAUUGGGCCUAAAGCGUCCGUAGCCGGUUCGUCAAAUCUCUUGUGAAAUUGUGAGGCUUAACCUUACAACGUGCAGGAGACACUAACGAACUUGGAACCGGGAGGGGUCAGAAGUAUGCCAGGGGGAGCGGUAAAAUGUUAUAAUCCCUGGUAGACUACCUAUGGCGAAGGCAUCUGACCAGAACGGAUUCGACGGUGAGGGACGAAAGCUAGGGGAGCAAAACGGAUUAGAUACCCGAGUAGUCCUAGCUGUAAACUCUGCGAACUAGGUGUUGCGCAUUCUUCGUGAAUACGCAGUAUCGAAAUGAAGAUGUUUAGUUCGCCGCCUGGGAAGUACGGUCGCAAGACUGAAACUUAAAGGAAUUGGCGGGGGAGCACCACAAGGGGUGCGGCGUGCGGUUUAAUCUAAUUCAACACAGAGAAUCUCACCAGGAGCGACGGCAGGAUGAAAGACAGUCUAAAGGGCUUUCUUGACGAGCCGAGAGGUAGUGCAUGGCCGUCGUCAGCUCGUGCCGCAAGGUGUCCUGUUAAGUCAGGCAACGAGCGAGACCUGCAUCUACAAUUGCCAGCGGAUCCUUCGGGAUGGCCGGGCACAUUGUAGGGACUGCCUUGGAAACAAGGAGGAAGGCGCAGGCUACGGUAGGUCUGUAUGCUCCGAAUCUUCUGGGCUACACGCGCGCAACAAUGGUAGAGACAAUGGGAUACAACUCCGAAAGGAGAAGUUAAGCCUCGAAACUCUAUCCUAGUCCAGAUUGAGGGUUGUAACUCACCCUCAUGACGAUGGAAUCCCUAGUAAUUGGACGUUAUCAGCAUCCAGUGAAUAAGUCCCUGCUCCU